UAGGGAAUCUUCGGCAAUGGGGGGAACCCUGACCGAGCAACGCCGCGUGAGUGAAGAAGGUUUUCGGAUCGUAAAGCUCUGUUGUUAAGGAAGAAUGAGUGUGAGAAUGGAAAGUUCAUGCUGUGACGGUACUUAACCAGAAAGGGACGGCUAACUACGUGCCAGCAGCCGCGGUAAUACGUAGGUCCCGAGCGUUGUCCGGAUUUAUUGGGCGUAAAGCGAGCGCAGGCGGUUAGAAAAGUCUGAAGUGAAAGGCAGUGGCUCAACCAUUGUAGGCUUUGGAAACUGUUUAACUUGAGUGCAGAAGGGGAGAGUGGAAUUCCAUGUGUAGCGGUGAAAUGCGUAGAUAUAUGGAGGAACACCGGUGGCGAAAGCGGCUCUCUGGUCUGUAACUGACGCUGAGGCUCGAAAGCGUGGGGGGCGAACAGG
rnacentral:rRNA from 1 species